GUUAACUUGUCGCUAUCGCGCAAGGCAAACAUGUGGUGCAGCUGCUUUCUCUGGCUGUGGGCAACCUGGAGAGAUUGAUUGGUGAGCCUUCUGUUUUAUCCAGGAUCAGGGCCACAUUCAGUAGACACGGUGCCUCCGGAGGAGCAGCCAUUUCCCCCAGAAAACAUGGCUCAUUACCAGCACAGACAAAAUCAAGCAUCUUCUGGCAAAUUAACCGCCAGGAGGCCCCGAUGAGUGAGAUAUGAGGCCUGAUGACUUGAGCAAAAAGGUCCCUUGCCAGUAACACUCCUCUGCUGGAUCACACUGUACUCCGGCACGCCGCGGAUUAUUUUUAGCUAUUGCUGUGCAGCUUUUCACCUUGACUCCCUCCAUCUUGACACCAUAAUUAACAUUUCUGUUAAUAGUAGCAGAGUUAAGGAUCUUUGACUGGGAAUCAAAAAACUGCGGCUGCAGCGGCAGCGGUGAUAAAUUGCACAGAGGAGACACCUUUUUGCCGGAUGAAGAAAUCUGCAUCUCCUUGAUAAUGAUGAUGAUGAUGGUGGUGGUGGUGGUGCAUCUCCCUGUGGAGGGAAAUUAGAGACACUGACGCAACAUGUUGAAAAAUGUACAUUUUAAUGUGACAGACUUGAGGAUUGUUGCGGCGUCCUGCAGGAGGAGCAGAUGUGACCAGAGGCGCUGGCAUUUUUGAAAUAGUGUUACGGGAGCGAAAUGUUGUGUUUACUGACACAUUUAUGUGUCUUUAUAAUCAUACGAUAAACAGUUUUAUGCGCGGGGAAAUAAACUGUAUCCUCAGUUGGUGACACUUAACAUUAAAUGUAUGAGUUAUAGGAAGACAACGUAUUAUUUUUAGUUUGAAUAAACUUGAUUUAUUUA